UUUGUAUUAGAUGUUCUUAAAAUUACUGUAUUAUUAACAAUUACUAUAUCUUUAUCUUUUUUUGAAAAUGCACUUAUAUGUUCAAAAUAGUCCGCCUCACUAAAACACAUCUGUGCUCCCAUUACCAAAAUCGCUCUGUUAUGAUUGGCAUCAACUUGAACACGGAAUCCAUCAACUGUAAUUGAUCUCACUUGAUGAAAAUCUUUAUCAAAAAGUAUGUAAUCAAAAUUUUGAACGUUCCUAACGUGAUGCGCGAUUAAGUAUUAGAAGACUAUAGUGUAAACAAUGAAACAUUCCAUUAUGAAAAUUUAAUCAUCUAAAUCUAUAAAUAAAUCUGUGUGUUUUAUACGUCCACUACUAUCUUUAAAUUUGUGAACAUUUUUAUCGAAAUAAUCUUCGCAUUCAUCAUCAAUACAUAUUUUUUUAUAAUCUGGAUUGACGAAAGUAAUGAUUAUUUAGUGCAUAUAUUCUAAAGGUGAUACUGUAAAAUAUGUUCUUUUUAAACCUAAAAAUAUAAUUACAAAAACU
rnacentral:lncRNA from 1 species